AUAAACAAAUGCUGAAAGUUUCCUGAAAUGCUUGGAGAUGACUAUUAUUUGCAGCAGAUCUCAAAUGCAGCAGAUGGAGCAUCAGUGAACACUCCAGAAUACCCUCUCACUUCCACAGCAUGCCAGGACAGAUAAGGGACUGCUGUUUGUGCUGGGGAAGCACGAGCCACGCUUUGAUCUUCAGAUACCAGUUCCCUCCUUCUGCUGUAAAGUGCAACUCCAUCUCCUUACCUGUGAUUAA